rnacentral:lncRNA from 1 species
GAUUCACUAUGGAAACCUGGUUCCUUAUCCUCACCGCCCUCUGCGUCUCCUUCCUCCUCAAAGCCCUUCUUUCUCUAUUCCUACCCACUUCCAUCUCCAAACCCAAGCCCCCUCCUGGGCCCCGCUACAUCCCCAUCAUCAGCACCUUGUUAUUCCUCCUCAAAUCCUUCUCGGAGCUCGAGCCUAUCAUCCGCAAACUACAGGCCAAACACGGGCCCAUCAUCUCCCUCCGCUUCGGCUCCCGCUCCGCCGUCUUCAUCGGCGACCGCUCCCUCGCCCACCAAGCCUUAAUCCAGAACGGUGCCGUGUUCGCCGACCGCCCCCGGGCCUUGGCCACCAACGAGUACGUCAGCAGCAACCAGCACAACAUCAGCUCCGCCCGAUACGGCCCCACUUGGCGCCUCCUCCGCCGCAACCUCACUUCCGAAAUCCUCCACCCUUCCCGCGUCAAAUCAUACGGCAACGCCCGCAAAUGGGUUCUCGACAUCCUAGUCAACCGCCUCAAAACCGAGUCUCAAUCCCAGUCCGAAUGCGGCGGCGGCGGUGGUGUCAGGGUGGUCGACCACUUCCAAUACGCCAUGUUCUGCCUCCUGGUUCUGAUGUGCUUCGGUGACAAAUUGAACGAAGAGCAAAUCAAAGAAAUCGAGCGCGUUCAGCGCCAACAACUUUUGAGUUUCGGGCGGUUCAACAUCCUCAAUUUCAAGCCGAAAUUGACCAAGAUUCUCUUAAAAAAUCGGUGGCGGCAAUUCUUCAAAAUCCUCGAGGAACAACGAGAAGUGCUCGUCCCUCUGAUUCGAGCACGACAAAACAGGGCAAAACAGGGCAGCAAAAACGAUGACAAAGACGAUGAAUUUGUGUUGUCGUACACUGAUACGCUGCUGGACCUCGAGCUUCCCGACGGCAACGAAAAGCGGAAGCUUUCGGAGGGAGAAAUGGUCAGCCUCUGCUCAGAGUUUCUGAACGCCGGCACCGACACGACUUCCACCGCACUGCAGUGGAUCAUGGCCAACGUAGUCAAGUACCCACAAGUUCAGGAGAAGCUGUUUGCGGAGAUUAAAGGGGUUAUGGGGGAAACGGAGGAGGAGGUGCGGGAGGAGGUCCUGCAUAAGCUGCUGUAUCUGAAAGCCGUGAUCUUGGAGGGGCUGAGGCGCCACCCGCCGGGGCACUUUGUGCUGCCGCACGCGGUGACCCAUGACGUGGUUUUGGGCGGACACCUGGUGCCCAAGACGGGGAGUGUUAAUUUCAUGGUGGCGGAUAUAGGGUGGGACCCGCAAGUGUGGGAGGACCCCAUGGCGUUCAAGCCGGAGAGGUUCUUGGGCAGCGGCGGAGAAGAAGAAGGGUUCGAUUUGAUGGGGAGUAGGGAGAUUAAGAUGAUGCCGUUUGGGGCAGGGAGGAGGUCCUGUCCUGGGUCUGGAUUGGCGGUGCUUCACCUGGAGUACUUUGUGGCGAAUUUGGUGUGGAAAUUCGAGUGGAGAGCUAUGGACGGAGAUGACGUGGACCUGUCUGAGAAGCAGGAGUUUACUAUGGUGAUGAAGAAUCCAUUGCAAGCCAACUUAAUCCCAAGAAGUUGAUGUGUGCGAGAAUUCUGUUUUAAUUCUUCGACGCAUGUUUAGCUGUUAAACUCGUAUGAUCUUCAUUGAUUAUCUAAUCUCGAAUAUUUGGGUUUUUAGUUUGCUUAUGUGAUCCAACGCAGAUUUUAUAAUUGAAUAUAAACAUAUCCUGAUAAAAAUUAAUUAUACGAUUUACGAUGAACGGAUGUGAUUUAAAGAUUUCCGAAAUGAUCUUGCGAGAAUCCUCCCUUCUGUAUUUGGUGAGUGACUUGGGUGAGCUGUCAUUGCUCCUUGCUAGUCACUUCUCAAAUCUCUUCCUCUUCUUUUACUGUUUAUUUAGAGACCGCCCAACAGCAAAGAGUAUUUGAGAAUUGAUGAGAAGCCUACAUAGGUACAAGUCUCAUUUAAUCUUGGUGUUACAGCUUAGCUGAUGGUUAAUUUGAAAUCCAAGUUAAUUGCGGGUCUGAAUAAAUUGGAUGGAGUAGUGUUUUUGUUUUCAACUGUUCAUAUAUAUGGAAAUGGAGGAAUAAGCAACUCUUUGAAGCCAACUUCGCGAGCGCAAGGCUGCGGAGGAAUGGUAUGACGCCUCUCAUUGUGUGUGCUCUAAUGUUCUUAAGAUGCAAGUGUCUUUGGCUUGGGAUCCACCCACUCCACUGCAGGGAGGGUGAGGCUUAAUGUUUACGGUUUUCGGAUCGAUGCUCCUAGAAAUAUAGAUAGAUGAGGAGUUUUUUGAGAUAACAUCGGUGAUUGCCUUGGAAGGUUUUUGUCAACUUGGGCAAGGGGCAAGCGAUCGAUGCUGAUGUUUGGGGGCUAAAUUUUGGACUAAAACUUCCAGUUGACAAUAGUAUAUAAAGAUUGUGCGGAGAUGAAUUCCGCUUUAGUGGUUAAUUACAACUGAUACCAAUUUCAUUCCCUUGGAAACAUCAGUGCAGACAACUUAUGACACGUAUAACUGAAUGUGAGUUAGUGCAUGUCUACCAAUAGAAGAACAUGAUGACAAAUAAAAUUGUCAACUGGAGCUAUGUUAUGGAUCUUGAGUACCAUAACAUAGCUUCAGUUGACAAUUUUAUUUACUUUUGUAUUUACUUUUGGCUUCACUCGAUUGAAUUCAAUCAAUGGAUUACAAUUCGAAAAUAGAAGGUUAGGCAAAGCAACGAGUGGAGAAGAACCCGUUAAUUUAUCAGAUGUUCAUAAUGAGGUUGAAGGGAUUUUUAAUGAUAUUUCAGUAUUGUAAUAUUUUCGAUAUUUUAACUGUGAAAUUUUUAGUUAAAAAUAUAAAAAUAAAAAUUUAAAGAUUAAAAAGCUAGUAUCUUAUACUCUAUAACACAUUAGUUUGUCGAAAAAAGUAGUAGAAAGAUGAGAUAUAAUUUGCAACAACAUCGAAUUAUUUUGCGUAUUAAUUAACGAAAAUGUUGCAAAACCUUUAGAUGUGAUUUUACUGUUUAUUAGGUCUCGGACAAUUGUAAUGCCUUCAUCAUCCCAUUUGAAACUCAUAGGUAUUGAUAACCCACGGAAUAACUCAUUGGACACGACAAAUGUCGAACUGUUGUCAGCUCUUUGAACAGAGAUUUGUAUAUACCAUUAUGCUUCAUCAUAUUAACAUUUCACCAGCUGCCUCAGGUUGGUGGUGAUAUAAGGAUGGAAAACUUGAUGAAGGCGCUGCUAGUUUGAUACUCGACAUGAGGCCUUCAAAAGUCGUAUCGACUGAAUUGGUCGUAAGUAGAAGUCUGCUAAAUUAGUUUAUAGUUUUAUCAAUCUUGACGUCAACUGAGACUAUGUUCCAUCUCUAAUUCAGGUUCAUGAAGUGUGCAUUGUUCGGGCACUCAACAAAUUGUGAUCGAAGGCCCCUUGUGUGAGGAUUAUUACAAGAUUCGGGAGUAUAUAUCUCAACUCCGUUCGAGUGAAAUUUCGAUAAAAUCAAGGGAGAGACUGAGAGCAUGCGAGCAAAAAUGGAGGGAUAUGAAGAAGUUUAGGUAUGUUGAAUGGUUUAUGGAUUUGCAGAGAUAGAGAAAUGAGAGAUGGAGGAACUUGGUGGGUUUCAGUUUGGAAUCGAAGAAGGGAGAAGGCUCUAGAAGGUUUCAAAAUGACGAAGCGAGAGGGCCGAAGGGAAAUUGCCAAGUUUGUUUGAAAUAGGCUCUAGAAGUUUUCAUUGUAUUAUAGGAAUGAGCCCAUUCAUUCAUCCAAAUUGGUGGGUUUCUAAUCCCCCAGCAAUGCCCAACCAUUGUAUAAUAGAAAAGGGUCGGUCUCGGGCCCCGUGGGUCUGAAGAUUUGGAAUUGCCCCAUCCUGGAUAUAUCACCUUCCCGUCCCGCCCCGUUCCGCCCCGCCUCAUUUACUCUCUAAAAAAUUUGGACCCGCCGCAUACCCGGCCCGAACCUUGAUUACCCACCCUGACCCACGAGUUCUCUACCUGUUUCGCCACCCCUACCUUGAACUAUCUCCUCCGUAAAAAUUAGGUUCUUGAAUUAUUUUUUUCGGCAAAAGAAGUCCCUAAAUUCAUUACAAAUUGCUAAUUUCAUCUCUAUUAUUAUAUUCAAAGGUAUUUUAUCCAAUGUUUCGUCAACUUAAGUCACUUGACACAUUUUAAAAUGUAAUACCGUCAUUUUCUCACCUAUAAGCCCUUACCAUUUCAUAAUCUAAUGUCUAAUUUACCCUUCAAAGUUAACUCCACAUACAAUUCUUUGUGAAAUUUACCAAUCUACCCUCUAAUAUGCAUCAUAUGCAAGUAACGUAACUUAAAAUUGACAGAAAAUUGAAUAUAGUAGAUUCGAAUCUAAUAUUAGAGAUAUGAUUGACAGAUUUUUAUAAUUCAAUGACUGAUUUUUCUAAAAAAUUAGUUUAGGGACCUAAUUUUUACUUAGACGAUAAUUCAGAAUUAAAUUAGCAAUUCACCCCAUUGUAUAUAACAACUUGAGAUGAACUGUCACCUAAUCACAAUGUUAAUUUUCAGUGAAUUCACGAAGCACAAUAACGUUUUAUUUGAAUGUGACUUAUUUUCGGCUGAAGUUGUCAAUCUGUUCACGUAUUUCAUGAAAGAAACAGAACAUGUUUGAUGAGUGAGAGGCCCGUGCGUGUUAACGUAAAAUAGUACCAAAGACAUUACAUCCGUACGUAAACAAAACAUUGCAUGCGAAUUACCUUUUUCACGUGGUAACAUAUAUGUGGUUGAGUUCGGAUUCUCCUAAAAAUUAGGUCAAACACUAAGGACUAUGUUUUCUGACACAUUGAGAAUAUUAGCAGAAAAUAAAACUAAUGGAUCACAAAAGGGAUUCUGUUCGUUCCUCUUAAUUCAUUAAGUUUAAAGAUUUAGAUUGUUAAAACUUAAUUCAACAGGAAUUUAUUAUAACUUUUAAAGUGAGUUCUUAUUUAUAGCUGUUGGAUCAAAUUUUAACGAUUCGGAUCCUGAACUUGAUGAAUUAGAAAAAAGAGAUCCGGAUCAUUUUCCAAUAGAUAAUUAUCCAACAGCUUUGAUGAUCUCCGCAUCAGUACAGUGUUCGUCAGCAAAUCAAUAAUUCGUCGGUAUUUUCUUCGUCACCACGCUAUUUUCAUCUCUUUUCUUGCUCACCAGGAUUUCUUCAUCUCUUUAUAUAGUUGUGGAAAAUUAAUAAUUUAUUGUCUGAUUGCUUACAGUUCACCAUGGAAACCUGGUUCCUUAUCCUCAUUGCCCUCUGCGUCUCCUUCCUCCUCAAACCCCUUCUUUCUCUAUUCCUACCCACUUCCGUCUCCAAACCCAAGCUCCCUCCCGGUCCCCGCUCCAUCCCCAUCAUCGGCGGCUUCUUGUGGAUCCUGAAACCCUUCUUGGAGAUCGAGCUUAUCAUCCGCAAACUCCAGGUCCAAUACGGGCCCAUCAUCUCCUUCUCCAUCGGCUCCCGCUCCACCGUCUUCAUCGCCGACCGCUCCCUCGCCCACCAGGCCUUCAUCCAGAACGGCGCCGUAUUCGCUGACCGACCUGGGGCCUUGGUCACCAACAAGUACACUACCAGUAACCAGCACACAAUCGCCUCCGCCGGAUACGGCACUACGUGGCGCCUCCUCCGCCGCAACCUCACCUCCGAAAUCCUCCACCCUUCCCGCGUCAAAUCCUACGGCAACGCCCGCAAAUGGGUUCUUGACAUCCUCGUCAACCGCCUCAAAACCAUGUCUCAAUCCCACUCCGAAGGUGGCGUCGUCGGUAGUGUU